UACGAGUGGUGCAAGCAUUAUUCGGAAUCAUUGGGCGUAAAGGGUGCGUAGGCGGUGUGUUAGUCUACUGUUAAAUAUCUCGGCCUAACCGGGAAAAUGCGGUGGAAACUAGCACGCUAGAGGAUGGAAGAGAGAAGUGGAAUUCUCGGAGUAGCGGUAAAAUGCGUAGAUCUCGAGAGGAACACCGAUGGCGAAAGCAGCUUCUUGGUCCAAUCCUGACGCUGAUGCACGAAAGCGUGGGGAGCAAACAGG
rnacentral:rRNA from 1 species